GCGGAUGUAGCUCAGUUGGCAGAGCACUUGGUUGUGGCCCAAGGGGUCGUGGGUUCAAUCCCCAUCAUUCGCCCCA
rnacentral:tRNA from 1 species